UUUCGCAAUGCCCGAAAGGGUGACGAAGCGACGCCGCGUGUGGGAAGAAGGCCUUCGGGUUGUAAACCACUGUCGGGAGUUAGGAAAUGUAAGGGUGCUAAUAGUAUCCUUACUUGACUAAGGCUCCGGAGGAAGCCACGGCUAACUCUGUGCCAGCAGCCGCGGUAAUACAGAGGCGGCAAGCGUUGUUCGGAAUUAUUGGGCGUAAAGAGCACGUAGGCGGCCUUGUAAGUCAGUUGUGAAAGCCUUCUGCUUAACGGAAGAACAGCAGCUGAUACUGCAAGGCUAGAGUACGGAAGGGGAGAGUGGAACUUCUGGUGGAGCGGUGAAAUGCGUAGAUAUCAGAAGGAACGCCGGCGGCGAAGGCGACUCUCUGGUCCGUAACUGACGCUGAGUGUGCGAAAGCUAGGGGAGCAAACGGGAUUAGAUACCCCGGUAGUCCUAGCCGUAAACGAUGGGCACUAAGUAGAGGGGUUUUA
rnacentral:rRNA from 1 species